AAAAAAAAAGCUAUGAGAUAUUAAUAUUAACGGUGAAUCCAGAAGAGAGAUGUGUAACAAGAAAAUGGUUAAGUGUACAGUAAUGAAGACAUGAUUUUGUGUCUGUAAUUGAAGAUCUGCUCGCAAAAGAUGAUUUUGGGUCUGAUUUAGACAAAUCUUUUCUUCUCCUUCCUCACUCAAUUACAGGUUAAUAUUUAACUAGGGUUUACAACUUUUUAUCUAGGGUUUCCAAUUCCAGAUCUAAUAUCUGGUGAUGAACUUUAUAUAUUUGGGGAUUAACCUCAAAC
rnacentral:lncRNA from 1 species